CCCGCACAAGCGGUGGAGUAUGUGGUUUAAUUCGAUGCAACGCGAAGAACCUUACCUGGUCUUGACAUCCCGGAGACCCUUAGGAAACUAGGGGGUGCUUCCAUCUGGAAGAAUCUGGAGACAGGUGCUGCAUGGCUGUCGUCAGCUCGUGUCGUGAGAUGUUGGGUUAAGUCCCGCAACGAGCGCAACCCUUGCCUUUAGUUGCCAGCAGUUCGGCUGGGCACUCUAAAGGGACUGCCGGUGUUAAACCGGAGGAAGGUGGGGAUGACGUCAAGUCCUCAUGGCCGUUUAUGACCAGGGCUACACACGUACUACAAUGGCCGAUACAAAGGGCAGCGACACUGCGACGGUGAAGCCCAAUCCCGUAAAAUCGGUCUCAGUCCGGAUUGGAGUCUGCAACUCGACUCCAUGAAGUUGGAAUCGCUAGUAAUCGUGGAUCAGCAUGCCACGGUGAAUACGUUCCCGGGCCUU
rnacentral:rRNA from 1 species